rnacentral:rRNA from 1 species
UACAGAGGGUGCGAGCGUUAAUCGGAAUUACUGGGCGUAAAGCGCACGUAGGCGGCUUGGUAUGUCGGGUGUGAAAUCCCCGGGCUCAACCUGGGAACUGCAUCCGAAACUGCCUUGCUAGAGUAUGGGAGAGGGAAGUGGAAUUUCCGGUGUAGCGGUGAAAUGCGUAGAUAUCGGAAGGAACAUCAGUGGCGAAGGCGACUUCCUGGACCAAUACUGACGCUCAGGUGCGAAAGCGUGGGGAGCAGACAGG